GUGUGGUCCGCAGGAAGGCUGCACCACGUCUAUUGGGAGAGCAGGCCUCCGAGUUCCUGCUGAACCACUCACAGCUUAAAAUACAACCAGCCCCUCUCCCUGCCGGCCAGCUGCUGGCGGAGGGCUGAAACCCUACCCUCUCCCCCCAACCUGGGCACCAGACCAGAACCCAGGAGGAGAGUAUGGGACGUCGGGGCCCCGACUGGCUGCUGGGAAAGGAAGCUGGGCAGCGGGAGGGGACGGCCGGGACAGGGGCCACCCUCCCAGCAGCCGCUGCUGCAGCUGCUACGGCUGCCACCGCCACCAACACACCCAGGCCAGCCCGAGGCUGCAGAGGAGCAGCGGCGCCCUCACAGAGGAAGGCACUGUCAAAGCUGGAAGAGGUGGUGAGGCUGAGCUCUGCAGACACAGGCUGACCGGAGCGGCAGAAGGCGCUCAUCCGGGCCGACCUACGCGCCCAGCACGCCCAGCCCAGGUUGCAGCAGGCAGCUCAGGACCUUUGAGCAAGUCAUCUGACAUCUCUGAGACUGUUUCUCCAUCUACAAAAACAAGAAUAAUUAAUAGUCUCCUACCUCACAGGGGUGUGAAGAUAAGAAAACAACGUAACAGAAUCUCACGAGCACAAAAAAAACAAAGAUCAGCUUUGCUGGUCGGCGGGAGCCAGCACUGGAGCUACACCUUCACCGCCUAAGCCGCUCAGAGAGACGUCCCGGGCGAGGAAGGGAUCCAAAGAUCAAGCCUCUCUGGGCUGAUUGCAAAGCCCCUUCCAAAGCCCGAAGCAGAGGCAGGGUGCAAGACCCUGCCCCUGAGCCUUCAUCAACUGUUGAACCCUUCAGAAUUCAGAGGCCUGGCAUCAGGGACAUGGUGAGAAGUCCUCAAAGAUAGAUCUCUGAUUCACAGGAGAGCAGGGCAGGGAGAAGGUGAGUCAAUGCUCAGCACUUAGUCAUCCAGGUUAGGCUCUAGAGACUUCUGAGCUACAGCUUAUGGGGACCCCUGUCUCCAAGUAAAGGAAGCUAAGGCUGUGGUCUUCAGAAAUUCAUUACCUUUUUCAUCGGGUCUAUCUGGGCAAAACAGAUGAAAACAUAGUGUUUUAUACUUGUACUUUCUCUUGUACAGAUCUCUUCCUGUUAGCAGUUGUGGGGCUCACAGUAUCUUGAGAUCCUUUAUGUACCAACAGGCCUCAUUCCCUGGCCUCAUGGAGGGGGAUGGGGGACUACUCGCUCAGAGGCCACAAGUUUAAAUCGUACAAAGUUGAGUUACUUGAGGUGUCUACUUCUGAGAUGCUGACGGGGCAGGGUUGAACCCCUAAAACCCAGCCAUGUUUUGCUACUUUGCCAGUUCUGCCAAUUUCCAGCUUCUCCAGUGUGGUCUGAGUAAGCAUGUCUUCCCUAUCACUGGGUUCCAGCUAGGCAAGGCGUCUGGUGUCCAAAUAGAUGUCAUUUUUGGAGAUUCCACACACAUUCCUACAGACUCAGAACAUUCUGGAAUUUCCCUUUCGAGACUGCUUCCCUGAGCCCUGAACUCACUCAACGGGCACCAAAUAAUUUUGUGAACCUACUAUGCUGUGUGCCAGCCGAGGCAUAAAAAUAAUUUCCGUCCCUCUCCUCACCUACAAGAAAUGCAUAGAAAGGCACGAUCCAGCCUGCAAAGAAGUCCUUUGUUUUUGAUGGGUAUUACAGGUGUGAGGACCCCUUGUUGGCCUCACCUGGCUUCCAGUAAUCAGUCUGCCAGCAGAAACCAAAUCCACCCUCAGAAUGAAGACUGGCCACUUUGUUCAAGCCAUUCAUGACACUGUACCACGGCUCUGACUAUACCUGUUGGUAGGGACAGCUAGAUUGUCCAGCACAGUGGCUGAUUCAUAAUGGUGACAAGUAAAUACAUUUGGUAUUUGCUGAGUCAAAUGUGAUAAGUCCCUUAGAGCAGUUUCCAAAGGGGAAAUUCUAUUUCCCCCAUGCAAGUAAGAUAAGAUCUUGAUUCUUCCAGGAACCUGGCUUGGCUUGUUUUUGGGUGUGUGAUCAAGCUGAUUCAGAGCUGUGUGAGGGAAGGUAAAGCCUACAGCAGACAAGCCAGGGCUGGUUAGCAACUUUCCACUGUGUCAGGAGCCCCAGAGAGAGGUUUCCCAAGUUCUAUCUUGUCUGCCUUUUUAAUUUUUAUUUUUAAGUCCAUGGGAUUUAUUUUCUUUCUUCUUAUUGACGUAUAAUUUACAUACAGUAAAAUUCACCUUUUUUAGUGUACAGUUCUGAAUAAAUACAGACAUGUAACCACCACCACAGUCAAGAUACAGAACAUUUCCAUCAUCCCCCCAAAUCCCCCUGUAUCCCUUUGCAGCAGAUCCCAGCCCCUGGCAACCACUGAUCCAAUU